rnacentral:lncRNA from 1 species
GGUGAUGGUGCUGGUGUUGUGUCUGAUUCUGCUGUGGAAUCAGGUGGUGCCGGGGGACUUUUGCGAACAAUUGUUGGUGCUGGAGCUGGUGCCUGAUGCCUCCUGUGCCUGUGCCUGUGCCUUCUAUGCUUAUGUGACGAUGGCGCCGGUGCUGGUACCUCUACUACCGGCGUUGGUGCCAAUGUUGGUGGUGGAGGAACAGGAGCUGGAGUUGGUGCUGGCUUUGUAGGUGCAGGAGCGGGUGCUGGUGUUGCCUUUGCUGGUGCAGGUGCAGGGGGUGUUUUGGCUGGUGUUGGAGCUAUCUUUGGUGGUGGCAAUGGCGGUGGCGUAGAAACGGGUGGUGGAGGUAUCGGGGGUGGCGAUGUGGGAGUUACAACUGGUGAUACUUUUGGUGGUUGUGGUUGUGGAGUUUGGGGUGGUGGGGCUUUUGGGCUUGAAGCAGGUGCAACUUUUGGAGCUGGUGGUGUCACAGGUGCGGGUUUGGGAGCUACAAUUGCAGGUGGCUGGGAUGUAGUUGGUGGUGUACUUGUGGUGGGAGGGGAUGCCACCACUGUUGGUGGUAGUGUUACCG